AGGAAUUUUCGGCAAUGGAGGAAACUCUGACCGAGCAACGCCGCGUGAACGAUGAAGUAUUUAGGUACGUAAAGUUCUUUUAUUAAAGAAGAAAAAAUGAUGGAAAAAUCAUUCUGACGGUAUUUAAUGAAUAAGCCCCGGCUAACUAUGUGCCAGCAGCUGCGGUAAUACAUGGGGGGCAAGCGUUAUCCGGAUUUAUUGGGCGUAAAGGGUGCGUAGGCGGUUAAAUAAGUCUAUGGUAUAAGUUCAACGCUUAACGUUGUGAUGCUAUAGAAACUGUUUGACUAGAGUUGGAUAGAGGCAAGUGGAAUUCCAUGUGUAGCGGUAAAAUGCGUAAAUAUAUGGAGGAACACCAGUAGCGAAGGCRGCUYKCUGGGUCYYWACYGACGCUGRRGYRCGAAAGCRUGGGGAGCRAACRG
rnacentral:rRNA from 1 species